rnacentral:rRNA from 1 species
CCUACGGGAGGCAGCAGUGGGGAAUAUUGCACAAUGGGCGCAAGCCUGAUGCAGCGACGCCGCGUGAGGGAUGACGGCCUUCGGGUUGUAAACCUCUUUCAGUAGGGAAGAAGCGAAAGUGACGGUACCUGCAGAAGAAGCGCCGGCUAACUACGUGCCAGCAGCCGCGGUAAUACGUAGGGCGCAAGCGUUAUCCGGAAUUAUUGGGCGUAAAGAGCUCGUAGGCGGUUUGUCGCGUCUGCCGUGAAAGUCCGGGGCUCAACUCCGGAUCUGCGGUGGGUACGGGCAGACUAGAGUGAUGUAGGGGAGACUGGAAUUCCUGGUGUAGCGGUGAAAUGCGCAGAUAUCAGGAGGAACACCGAUGGCGAAGGCAGGUCUCUGGGCAUUAACUGACGCUGAGGAGCGAAAGCAUGGGGAGCGAACAGGAUUAGAUACCCUGGUAGUCCAUGCCGUAAACGUUGGGCACUAGGUGUGGGGGACAUUCCACGUUUUCCGCGCCGUAGCUAACGCAUUAAGUGCCCGCCUGGGAGUACGGCCGCAAGGCUAAACGUCAAAGGAUUGAGGCGNGAGNGNGCGAGGCGACGACGAGGAGAGG